rnacentral:piRNA from 1 species
UCAUAAUAAACUGCAGAAAACCCUU